rnacentral:rRNA from 1 species
UACGAAGGGGGCUAGCGUUGCCCGGAAUCACUGGGCGUAAAGCGCACGCAGGCGGAUUGUUAAGUCAGGGGUGAAAUCCUGGAGCUCAACUCCAGAACUGCCUUUGAUACUGGCGAUCUCGAGUCCGGGAGAGGUGAGUGGAACUGCGAGUGUAGAGGUGAAAUUCGUAGAUAUUCGCAAGAACACCAGUGGCGAAGGCGGCUCACUGGCCCGGUACUGACGCUGAGGUGCGAAAGCGUGGGGAGCAAACAGG